UGGAUGCUAUUGUGUUAUGUAUUGAGAAGUGAGAUCUUUUAUUUAUAGAAGUACAAAACCCCAGGAAUAAACCUAAUAGAAAUCUAAUAUGAAAGAAGUCUUUUCCUACUAGAAAAACUUUUUUCACUAAGAAAUCCUUUCUGAAUUAAAAUACAAUGAUAGUAGAAUCCAAGUAAGGUUAGUAGAAUCCAAGUAAGGUAGGAAAAAUCACGACAAAUCCUAACAAAUCUCCCCUUGGCCUGAAUUUCUGGCAAAAUUGAUCAUCUUCAUGUAAUCUUCAUAACUGCUGUUUGUCAUGGUUAAAAAUAAAGUUUAAAUGUUAUUGGUUAAAAAUGAUUUUUAAAAAAUAUUUUAUUUUUAUUUUCAAAUAUGCAGCAGCAGGAAUGUUGAAAAUAUACUUUAAGCUCCUUCUCCACAUAUAGCUAGACAAAAAUCUUCAUUAUCGCCAAACUGUUGCAGCAUGCUUUUGAAACCGCUUUGAACCUAUUUAAUCUCGUCUCACCACACUAUUGGACCAUUGAACUUGACUCUGAUACCACUUGUUGGGUUCAAAAUCGAGAGGGCUUCAUGCGGAAGCUAAUAGUUUGCAAACUAUAAAGACGAUAAUUCAGACGAAACAUAAAACAAUACUAAAAACUUAAUAUUAUUAUAUUAUUUAGCCAAUUGACCUACAUAUGAAAACUAAUUUUAAAGAAAACAUAGACUAUUGAGAGAAAAUCUCCCCCUAAAGAAAACUCUUUAAUGAUCACAUUGUGGAUG
rnacentral:lncRNA from 1 species